UACCAGCUCUCCGAGUGGUAGGGAUGUUUAUUGGGCUUAAAGCGUCCGUAGCCGGCUUAGCAAGUCUCCUGUUAAAUUCAGCGACCUAAUCGUUGAGCCGCGGGAGAUACUACUAGGCUAGGAGGCGGGAGAGGUCAACGGUACUUCCGGGGUAGGGGUGAAAUCCUAUAAUCCCGGGAGGACCACCAGUGGCGAAGGCUGUUGACUAGAACGCGCUCGACGGUGAGGGACGAAACCUGGGGGAGCGAACCGGAUUAGAUACCCGGGUAGUCCCAGCUGUAAACGAUGCGAGCUAGGUGUUGGGGUGGCUACGUGCCACUUCAGUGCCGCAGGGAAGCCAUUAAGCUCGCCGCCUGGGGAGUACGGCCGCAAGGCUGAAACUUAAAGGAAUUGGCGGGGGAGCACCACAAGGCGUGAAGCUUGCGGUUC
rnacentral:rRNA from 1 species